AAGGAAACAGCUGGAAGUUAGGAUGUAGAGAGCUGUCCUGCAAGUAGAAGUCUCCGAAGUAAUAACACAUGCUGUUGGUCCUCAGCACUGUAAUUCAUCUGUGAAGGCCAGGAAACUGUCAGUAAAAGAGUCUGAAACAGAUUUGAAAGUGAAUCUGACAACCAAGUCUCCCCAGACACAGCUUUCCAAGCCUGGGACACCAGACGCAUCAGCCUGAAUCACACUGCCUCCAGCCCUCUGAGCAUUUCCUGCUUCUGAGAGAGAGCAGCUACAUUCUGACAGCUUCAAUGGGAGGUGUCAGCCUAUUUCCAGAGCUUUCUAAAGACAUUCUGUCAUUCUGUGAAUGAUAUCAUUGUGUGGAACCUCUGAGAUAAUGAGACUAUGAACAUCAUCCCACAGUACCAUUUGGCUCAAAGACAGAGAAACAUA
rnacentral:lncRNA from 1 species